rnacentral:rRNA from 1 species
UAGUCCACGCCGUAAACGAUGUCUAUUAGCCGUUGGGCAGCUUGACUGUUUAGUGGCGCAGCUAACGCGAUAAAUAGACCGCCUGGGGAGUACGGCCGCAAGGUUAAAACUCAAAUGAAUUGACGGGGGCCCGCACAAGCGGUGGAGCAUGUGGUUUAAUUCGACGCAACGCGAAGAACCUUACCAGGUCUUGACAUCCCCGGAACUUUCUAGAGAUAGAUUGGUGCCUUCGGGAAUCGGGUGACAGGUGCUGCAUGGCUGUCGUCAGCUCGUGUCGUGAGAUGUUGGGUUAAGUCCCGCAACGAGCGCAACCCUUGUCUUUAGUUGCCAGCAUUAAGUUGGGCACUCUAAAGAGACUGCCGGUGUCAAACCGGAGGAAGGUGGGGAUGACGUCAAGUCCUCAUGGCCUUUAUGACCAGGGCUACACACGUACUACAAUGGCAUAAACAAUGGGCAGCGACUUAGCGAUAAGGAGCGAAUCCUCAAAUUAUGUCUCAGUCCGGAUUGG